rnacentral:rRNA from 1 species
GAUCCUGGCUCAGGAUGAACGCUAGCUACAGGCUUAACACAUGCAAGUCGAGGGGCAGCAUGAACUUAGCUUGCUAAGUUUGAUGGCGACCGGCGCACGGGUGAGUAACACGUAUCCAAACUUCCGUUUACUCAGGGAUAGCCUUUCGAAAGAAAGAUUAAUACCUGAUAGUAUGGUGAGACUGCAUGAUAGCACCAUUAAAGAUUUAUUGGUAAACGAUGGGGAUGCGUUCCA